UCUAGUAACCCCGCUCAAAUACGUAAUCUAGCAUGUUCCCCGAAACGUCUUCUUCCUCCCCUCCGUCGCCGUCGCCGGCCUCCAAUGGCCAUGGCGCUUUCCUCUCUCCUCCGGGAACCGGCCCUAAAAUCAAUGGGCAAUGGUCUGGGUAACCAUGGUAGGUAGGCCUCCUGCCGGCGACCCUGCCCCUCUUCGCCGCCAGCUUUCCAGAUCCACAAAAAGUUGGCAUCCUCAUCCUCUUGGGUAGGUAGGUAGGUAAGGUCGUGCUGCGCUGCCUGUUAGUUUCAUCUCCUGCGCUGGUUAAUUUGCUGGAUGUUACCUCCUACUCCUGCUGCUGCUGCUGCUGCUGCUUUUGUUCUCUGAAUCAAUGGAUGAUACUGAUUCGUUUCUAGUCUAUGAUUCCACUUUUUUUGGUGUUCACAUUACUAAUUUGUUACUAGGUAUGUAAAACAUUUACCAGGGAAUUUUCUAUUUCUGCUGUUGCUACCGCCUACUAUCCCUUAUGAUUUUCCUUGUGUACAAAUCAAUAUACAGUCUGACUGACCACUAAUUUGCUUGGACUGACAAAUUCAUUCAUGUAAUUGCUGAAAACUGCCAUUGCACAACACUGGGCAACAAACUUGCUGCAUUACUGGAGGUUGAGGAUGCGAUUUAUCGGAUCUUUUGAAGUUUUAAGAACCCAAUGGUCAUAUCACUCCAGCUCGAAUGUCAACAAGACUCCAUGCUCCGGCAAACAGGAGGCACGCAUCUCUGCCGUCGCAGCUCUUAUCAACGCCCGCUUUGGAGGCAGUGUCUUUGAGCCUCAGCACAGAAACCAAGCACUCCCGCAUUCUAUCUUUAUGUAUGCACCUACGAGAGUCUUGUUGAUGGUUUUGACAAAGAUAUCCAGUGACAGUAACCAGUCUAGACACACUUGCCUUGGUGAUAUGAAUAUGAGAUCUCCGCAAUACAUUGCAAUUUAGUUAGCUUCUUUGUUGACUUGUGUGAGGAUCCGAGGCAGGCAUAUAACCAUGUGGGCUCAGGCCCUGCCAAAUUGCAUCUGCGUUUUCAAACCCCCCUUUCUUUUUAAUAAGCCAAGGCGUGCGCUUCAAUUAGCUUGGUUCUUAGCCUUCUUGUUAAUGUUGACUACUGAUUAAUGAAGGAAGGAAGCUUGUUCACAAAAAAAGUUAUAUAUGUCUGUUUAUUUUAGUGUUCUUAACCUGAUCCGAUGAAUUUUUUUUAGCUACAUAAACAAAUAAAAUCGGAUUGUUUUUCUAAUAAGAAAAAAGAGGAACUUCUGAAACCCUCUAGAACUGUAGGUCCACUGGUUUACCUGAAGCAUGAAGUAAUGUUGCCUGCAUGUGCACAGUUUUGAGAAUAGAAAAACAAUUACACUGUUCCCUUUCUGGACCUCUACAGAACAAGCUCUAGUGCUACUGUUGCAAAUCACCAUGGCUCUCCAUUUAUUCGAUACAGUUGUAAAGCAUCAUCACUCUAAGGACAAUUACUAACUGAAACGUUACAUAGUUUGUUUAUUCAAGGCUAUUCUGGAUUUCUCGAGUCGAGGCUUCUUUUUCUGCUCCAUGCCCCCCUAUAAAUUUGAGCCACAUUGUUGGGUCAGCUAUCUCCAAGGUUCUAUCUGGAAGAGCAUCCUCAGCAAACUUAUGCAGAUCCAAUGAAUCUCCGAAUGUGCCUUCUGUUGGGCUCCUUCCGCAAGAAGAAUGUUGCUUGGCUUAAGAUCGCAAUGGAUUACCAAUGGUUGACAGUAGUUGUGCAGAUAUUCUAUUGCGUCCACAAUAUCAGCAGCAAUAUCGAGCCUCUGGGCAAGGCUAAGCGUGUUGUUUGUGGUCGGUUCUUGAGAUUUUGGAUGAAGCCAACCAUCCAAGUUACCAUUGGGCAUGAACUCAAAAACCAAUGCCUUGAACUCUUGACCUUGGUGGUUGACGCUCGAACAGGAAGUAAUGAUCUUAAUCAGACAACGGUGUCGUA